UGGGAAGUUCCGCCUGAAAGGGUGGUCCCCCCUUCGAGACUCCCACACCGCAGUCACACCCGCCACCCAAGAUAAACGCUGUCCCAGUACAAAUGCCGGUUUCAGCCAAUGGAAGCGUUACAGUUCCGCGCAAGAAGUCGCGUGCUGCGGAUGUGCCUCCAUACAGUGCCUCUAUAUUUUGCUCUUUGAAUCUGAGUGUAGGUGGAUUCUCGAGUGAUCAAGUGACUAUUUACCUCUACUACUACUAUUAUUACAACGAAGUGCAGUGAAUACGUAACGAUGCAUCCAGCGUUUGAAAAUGCCGGCAUUAGCAAGGGUCUGGAAGUGUGGCGCAUUGAGAACUUUGAGCCCGUCCCGGUACCGGUAAAAGAGUAUGGCAAAUUCUACACCGGUGAUUCCUACAUCGUACUGAAUACGAAAGAAUCCAAGAGUGGCAUACUCUCGUGGGACGUCCACUUCUGGCUUGGGCUGGAAACGUCUCAAGACGAGGCCGGUUCGGCGGCAAUUCUAACCGUCCAGCUGGAUGAUCGUCACAACGGCGCCCCGGUUCAGCAUCGUGAGGUGCAGGAUCACGAGGGUUCGCUGUUUCUGAGCUACUUCCCGGGCGGUGUGCGCUACGCUGCCGGUGGCGUCAAGAGCGGCUUCAACGAGGUCGAAACGAAUGCGGCCGGCGAGAAGCGUCUGUUCCAGGUGAAGGGCGCAAAGAAUGUGCGCGUCCGCCAGGUGCCACUGUCGAUUGGGUCGAUGAACAAGGGCGAUUGCUUCAUACUGGAUGCCGGGUACGAUAUCUACGUGUACGUGGGAGCUUCCGCUAAGCGGGUGGAGAAGAUAAAGGCGAUCAGUGCUGCGGGCCAGAUUCGCGAUCAAGAUCAUGCGGGUCGUGCCAAUGUGCACAUCUUAGAUGAGUUUGCAAGCUCCGCGGAACAGCAGGAAUUCUUUGACGUGCUCGGUGAAGGUUCUCCCGACGCUGUGGCAGAAGAGUCGGAGUCGGACGAAGCGUACGAACGGUCCGACUGUAAGGCGAUCGCUCUCUACCACGUGUCGGAUGCUAGCGGAUCGCUCGAGAUCACACCGAUCGGGGAGCGUCCGUUGAAGCAGAGCAUGCUGGAUUCUAAUCAGGACUGCUACAUCCUCGACACCGGGGCAGGCAGUAUCUACGUGUGGAUCGGUAAGGGUGCAACCGGUCAAGAACGGUCCCAGGCAAUGGUGAAGGCGCAGGAGUUUAUCACCGCCAAGGGCUACCCGGUCCACACCGCCGUACAUCGCGUGGUGGAGAACGGAGAAACGACCGACUUCAAGCAAUUCUUCGCCAGCUGGCGCGAUAAGGGCAUUAGCCAUGCGCAGCUCAUCAAGACCGCCAUGGGCAACGGGGACGAGUCGGAUGCGGAGGCCGAGUUCGAUCCGGAGGUGUUGCACACGUUCAAGAAGAACGGUGGCCGUGCGCUCGGCUUCAUGCCGGACAAUGGUCAGGGUGCGGUGGAGAUAUGGCGCGUACAGAACUACGACCUGGAGCCGGUUGAGCCGGAUGCGUACGGUACGUUCUACGCCGGUGACUCGUACCUCGUGCGGUACGAGUACACGGUCCGGGCCGGUGGCCACGGGUACAUCGUGUACUUCUGGCAGGGCAAAACGUCCAGCACUACGGAGAAGGGUGCAUCGGCCAUGCACGCCGUCCGCAUGGACGAUGAGCUGAACGGGAAAGCGAUUCUUGUGCGCGUCGCUCAGGGCAAUGAACCGCGCCACUUUAUGAAGCUGUUCAAGGGCAGAAUGGUGACGCUGUUGGGCGAUUACGGCAAGCAGUCGGUGGAAGAUACGAAACUGUUCCGCAUUCGCGGUACCUGUUCCGAUGAUGUGCGAGCGGAGGAGAUGGCCCCGACGGCAGCAUCGCUAGCGUCGGACGAUGUGUUCCUGCUGAAGACGGCGGGCACCGUGUACAUCUGGCACGGUGUCGGUGCGUCCGAUCUGGAGAAGGAUAUGGCGGCCAACAUUGCCGGUGUGGUUGCGCCCGACGCAAGUGCCGAAGUUGUUGCGGAAGAGUCGGAACCGGAGGAGUUCUGGGCAGCGCUCGGUGGAAAGGAUGAGUACGAUCGGGAGCUGGAUCCGGCUGGUGCUCCGUUCCUGACGCCCCGGCUGUUCCACUGUCGCAUUCUGUACAACAAGAAGCUGCGCGUCGAGGAAGUGCCACACUACGAGCAGGAGGAUCUCAACGUGGACGAUGUGAUGGUGCUGGAUGGUGGCGACGAGAUAUACUGCUGGAUCGGUAACGGUGCAACCGAGGAGGAACGCAGCAAGUCGAUCGAUAUGGCCCGCCAGUACAUCCGUACCGAUCCGUCCGAACGGUCGGAGGAGACGGUCCCGAUCGUUGUACUUAAGCAGGGCGCCGAGCCGAGAAGCUUCAAGCGACUCUUCCCCACGUGGGACGAUGCUUUCUGGGAGGUUAGUCGUUAGUGAGCGCUUGCCCCGACCGGUUGUUGGCUUAACAGUGUGCUACUAGCCGUGUGUAAACCUGGUGUAGGAUAUACUAUGCUAUUGUAACUCCCGACUUAUGUCUUACCUCUCUAUAAUUUCGAUUGCUUAUCGCUAACAAAAGUAUACUUUCUCCUCAGUGCACGGUAUCCGCUCGUUAAUUGGUUUGCGUACGUUUUGGGUUGUAAUUUGUGAGCUGUUACGUUACGAUUGUGCUGCUGUAUUAAUUCGUAUUAAUUCGCUUCCCCUUUGGGUAACCUAUGGAAUGGUUUGUUUUAGAUGUGUAAUAACCAAAUGUCAUACGAAGCGUACCGGCAGCAGGCUUUGGAGCAAAACCAGCAUGCUGCUUAGAUACGCAUCGACCAUUCAUCCACUAUCACGUGUCAUUUCGCCCGUCACGUGUCAUACUCGUAUAUGCACCAUUACUACCUUGCUACAUUUAAUCUGUACGUUUAUUACGAACGUUCGCACAAAGAAAUAAAACUGUGUUUGAAGUAAA